AGACUUCUGUAUCCGUACUGACAUUUCAUCACACACCAGACCGCAAAGGCUGAUGAGACUCCCAAGAUAAGUGAAGCG
rfam:Schistosoma haematobium scaffold168_27, whole genome shotgun sequence.